GGGGAUUUAGCUCAGUGGUAGAGCACUUGCCUAGCAAGCAUAAGGCCCUGGGUUCGGUCCCCAGCUCUG
rfam:Rattus norvegicus chromosome 3, whole genome shotgun sequence.